CCUACGGGUGGCUGCAGUGGGGGAUAGUGGACAAUGGGGGCAACCCUGAUCCAGCCAUGCCGCGUGUGUGAAGAAGGCCCUCGGGUUGUAAAGCACUUUCAGUGAGGAAGAACGCCUUGUGGUUAAUACCCAUCAGGAAAGACAUCACUCACAGAAGAAGCACCGGCUAACUCCGUGCCAGCAGCCGCGGUAAUACGGAGGGUGCGAGCGUUAAUCGGAAUUACUGGGCGUAAAGCGCGCGUAGGUGGCUUGAUAAGCCGGUUGUGAAAGCCCCGGGCUCAACCUGGGAACGGCAUCCGGAACUGUCAAGCUAGAGUGCAGGAGAGGAAGGUAGAAUUCCCGGUGUAGCGGUGAAAUGCGUAGAGAUCGGGAGGAAUACCAGUGGCGAAGGCGGCCUUCUGGACUGACACUGACACUGAGGUGCGAAAGCGUGGGUAGCAAACAGGAUUAGAUACACUGGUAGUC
rnacentral:rRNA from 1 species